rnacentral:rRNA from 1 species
UAUCGUAUUGGUACUAAGCCAUGCGAGUCGUUGUACAAUACAGGGCGGACUGCUCAGUAACACGUAGUUAACUUAACCUAUGGAUGGGAAUAACCUCGGGAAACUGAGAAUAAUACCCAAUAGAUCACAGUGCCUGGAAUGGCCUGUGAUUGAAAUGAUUUAUCGCUGUAGGAUGGGACUGCGGCCUAUCAGCUUGUUGGUGAGGUAAUGGCCCACCGAGGCUAUAACAGGUACGGGCUCUGAGAGGAGGGGCCCGGAGAUGGGUACUGAGACACGGACCCAGGCCCUAUGGGGCGCAGCAGGCGAGAAACCUUUGCAAUGUGCGAAAGCACGACAAGGUUAAUCCGAGUGUCUCCUGCUAAAGGAGUCUUUUGUCAGUUGUAGAAUCACUGGUGAAUAAGGGGUGGGCAAGUUCUGGUGUCAGCCGCCGCGGUAAAACCAGCACCUCGAGUGGUCAGGAGGUUUAUUGGGCCUAAAGCAUCCGUAGCCGGUUGCAUAAGUUUACGGUUAAAUCUAUGCGCUCAACGUAUAGGCCGACGAAAAUACUGUGCAGCUAGGGAGUGGGAGAGGUACCCGGUACUCACUAGCGCGGGGUCAUUCUUUGAUCUUUGAUGACCCCUGUGGCC